rnacentral:tRNA from 1 species
GCCCGCCUAGCUCAAUCGGAUAGAGCGUCAGACUCUUACCAGGCAGUGGCAUCUGAAGGCUGCGAGUUCGACCCUCGCGGUGGGCU